UAUGUGUAUUCAUUUUAGCUUUUCUCACACACAGCUUUUCCCCAACGACGGCUUCCUGCCAGACCUGAGGCUGCAGUUUAAGGAACCAGUACCAACUUCUCCAGUUAGCUUUUCCCCAACGACGGCUUCCUGCCAGACCUGAGGCUGCAGUUUAAGGAACCAGUACCAACUUCUCCAGUUAGCUUUUCCCCAACGACGGCUUCCUGCCAGACCUGAGGCUGCAGUUUAAGGAACCAGUACCAACUUCUCCAGUUAGCUUUUCCCCAACGACGGCUUCCUGCCAGACCUGAGGCUGCAGUUUAAGGAACCAGUACCAACUUCUCCAGUUAGGGGAGAGCGCGAACGCAGUCCCCCACUACCAGAAAUUAUGCAGUCGAGAUUCCCACAUUUGGGGAAUUCGCAGGGGUCAGCACAACCGGAGUGCAAUGGCCGAGCCUCGCCCUGGGUGAA